AACUUUCAGCAAUGGAUCACUUGGCUCUCGCAUCGAUGAAGAACGCAGCGAAAUGCGAUAAGUAACGUGAAUUGCAGUAUUCAGUGAAUCAUCGAAUCUUUGAACGCACCUUGCGCUCCUUGGUAUUCCGAGGAGCAUGCCUGUUUGAGUGUCAUUAAUAUAAUCUCAACCCCUUCUCUUGUUGGAAGGGUUUGGAUGUGGGGGUUUGCUGGCCUUCUCAAAAGGUUCAGCUCCUCUGAAAUGCAUUAGCAGAACAACCUUGCUCAUUGGUGUGAUAACUAUCUACGCUUAUGAAUGUGAGGGGCAGUUCAGCUUUCUAGCCGUCUUUGGACAAUUCAUCAUUAAUGUGACCUCAAAUCAGGUAGGACUACCCGCUGAACUUAAGCAUAUCAAUAAGCGGAGGCU
rnacentral:misc_RNA from 1 species